CAGCCGCCACGGUAAUACGUAGGUGGCGAGCGUUGUCCGGAUUUAUUGGGCGUAAAGGGAGUGUAGGCGGUCUUUUAAGUCUGAUGUGAAAGCCCACGGCUCAACCGUGGAGGGUCAUUGGAAACUGGGAGACUUGAGUGCAGAAGAGGAGAGCGGAAUUCCAUGUGUAGCGGUGAAGUGCGUAGAUAUAUGGAGGAACACCAGUGGCGAAGGCGGCUCUCUGGUCUGUAACUGACGCUCAUGCACGAAAGCGUGGGGAGCAAACAGGAUUAGAUACCCGCGUAGUCCCUGUCUCUUAUAC
rnacentral:rRNA from 1 species